UACGGAGGGGGCUAGCGUUGUUCGGAAUUACUGGGCGUAAAGCGUACGUAGGCGGCUUUGUAAGUUAGAGGUGAAAGCCCGGGGCUCAACCCCGGAAUUGCCUUUAAGACUGCAUCGCUAGAAUUGUGGAGAGGUAAGUGGAAUUCCGAGUGUAGAGGUGAAAUUCGUAGAUAUUCGGAAGAACACCAGUGGCGAAGGCGACUUACUGGACACAUAUUGACGCUGAGGUGCGAAAGCGUGGGGAGCAAACAGG
rnacentral:rRNA from 1 species